rnacentral:ncRNA from 1 species
UUGAUUUUUUAAUUUAGGGUGAAAUCAGAAAUUAUUUUUAUUUAAACUCUAAAUUUUAAGAUUUAGUAAACAAACCAGAUUAGUACCUGGUUAGAUAAAAUUUAAAAGAGCAGGAGUAAAGUUAUAUUUAAACUGUAAGAAUAUUGGCAGGUUUUUAAAUUAUCUUUGGAGGCUGAGUAGUGAUUGAGAGCCCUCAUUUUCAACUUUUUCUUUAGGCGCAUGUAUGAUCGUUUAUUUUAUUCUUAAGGAUUGUAAUUUUAGUCUUUGCUAUAAAAAUAGAUAGAUAUCUGGCUUAUGAGAAAGAUUUAAUUUGGCCUACAAUAAUUUAAUUUUUGGAUUCUAGUUUUAGAGGCUAGAUGAAAUUGUAAAAGACAGUAAGUUGCUUUUAAUGGGUGGCUGAAGUUUAUUUAAAAACGGUACAAAUCAUCCAUCAAUUGCCAAAAU